ensembl:lncRNA LINC01414 long intergenic non-protein coding RNA 1414
GGAAGAGAAUCCUGUUUCCCAACUGGGCCUCCCCUCUGGAGAUGGAGCAAGGAAGACUGUCCAACUCUGCUCUGGGCACCCUGCUGAUGGAUGAGGUGUCAGGCCAGUCGUCAUGUGAGGACUGGUUUCCAAAUGAUACAAAAAGAAAAAUUACUGUCAUGUGAUGUGUGAUCCAUGAUACCGUCAUAGUUUUGUUCCAAGACCAUCCUCAAGGAGUUUAAUGAAUGUGGCAUCACAAGAAAAAUAUGCAUCAACAUUGAAAAGCAAAGCCUUCCAGCCAGUUCAAUGGUGGGAGUCUCCCCCUGCUCUUCCUGCACAAUCAUUUCCCAUUGAGGAAGAAUGUGAAAAUGACGCACAGGUGAGGGAGGCAUACUAUAAGACCGCUUCUUACCUUUCGUUUCCUGGAGCCAAUAUGAAUGAAGACCCAGAGAGAGGAGAAGGGAAAGAGAAGCUGCCAAAAACAGACAAUGGGAGAAAAGAAGUGAGCACCAAGAGCAUCCUGGGAUGAAAAUGAGGAAGGCUGGAGAUUUGUCAUUGUCAGUGUUGUCAUUUUCUGUCGUAUUUUAAAUCUGAGAGCUUUUAUGGUAGGAGUAUAUGUGCUGUUUUAUAAUAGCUUAGAGAAAAUUUUUCAUUGGAUGUUUUAGUCCAUUCAUUCCUUAGCACUUACAAAAGUCACAGGCAAAAAUCAAACGUGCAAGCAAAUCCCAAACUCUCUACAUGUAAAGUGGUGAAUUCUAAUUAUUUUUCAAAUUUGUUCAGUUGUUAUAGUUAUGCCAUUGCUGUGUAUUUGUAUUUAUCUUUUUUAUUAAAUACAUAUUCACUAAUCUGCCUGAUUUGUGAUUGUUUUAUUUAGUUUUCUUUACUCCUUGUUUGUACUUUGGGCCUGAGGUUUUAGAAGAUGAUCUGACAAAAGUGUAUUUCAAUCUGGGAGAAGUGAUCAUUGCUCAAUAACCAUGAUUGAUCAUUGAUCAUUAACCAUGGAUUAGCCAUGGGAUGAUUUGUCCUAGAGGAUGAGGUUUUAGCCCCUGUCAUUGUCACUCUAUCUUAUGUGGGGCUUAGAAUCUCAUCAAAUUUUUCUUUGAUGCUUCUUGGCUACCAUUAUCCAUUUGCUCAGAAUGUGUCAGUCCCAGCCCAGUGAUGCCUAACCAGGAGCAUUAUUGGGUCACUGCACAUAGUUUUGUGAUUAAUUCAUUUAAAAAUAAACUGUCCUUGAAUUAUGCUGAGUCGUGUCAUCCGUUUCCUGAAGAAAUCCUGGUUGAUACACCUAGUCAAUAAUUAGGUGUGAGACCAGCCUCUAAAAAGGCAUUCUAGUUGGAUACUUUACAGAUACUGGAUUUCCAGUGCCUGUGCUCCACUGGUCCCUUGGAUUAAGGAAAACUGGUAGAGAUACUUUUCAAAGAAAACAAAAGGAACAUAUUUGCUUCCCUGAAGGGUCCCUGGGGAAGGCAGAUAGGUCUGGUGGGGAUUUGCAACAUUCUGCAUAAUGCUGUCUGCCUCUGUCUCUAAGAGGGCCUAGCACGUAGUCCAUGCCAGAUGUAUUCUGUAUUCUCCAGAUCCAUUUUUCUUCCUUUUGCACCUUGCUUUCUGCCUGUGAAGGCUGAAUUUCGUGGACUGCAUCAACUGGCUCUGCACAGGCUAAUAGUUAGGUUCAGCCAAUGGGGAGGCUUGGCAAGAGAAAAAGGAAAAACAAAUGAGGUCAGGGCAAAUAUUGCCCUGGUUUCCUACAUAAGGGGUCAUCUCAGGCUGACCGUGUCCCUUCACGGAAAGUCACUUCUCUCCGGAUUCCUUUUCUAUGUAACUAUUCUGUAUUUCAGUAAUUUCUCCCAUCUGUCAUCCCUCAAGACUACGGGCAAUAACAGCCCACCUACUGUUAGCCCUCGGUUCCUCAACCAUACGUUGAGGAAUUCCGUGUACCCUGCACACACCUUUGUGAUUAAUUCAGAUGAAAAUAAACUCUCCUUGAAUUAUGCUAAUGUGUGAGUGUCAUCUGUUUCUUGUUGAAAUCCUCAUUGAUAUAGCUAGUCAAUAAUUAAUAGUUAAUAUUUAUUGAAUGUUUACUAUUCUAAAAGAUGCAUGGGAACUGACACAUUAAAUCAUCUCAAUAGGAAAUAUCAAGAGAUACUAUUAUUAUCCCUAUUUCACAGCUUAGAAGAGAUUAAGCCAUAUCCCUGGGGUGCACAAAAUAAAGUGGUGGGAUGUGAUUUGCACCAGAGCAUUCUUCUGUCUCCAGAGUCUGGGCUCU